CCAGCCAUGCCGCGUGCGGGAAGAAGGCCUUCGGGUUGUAAACCGCUUUUGUCAGGGAAGAAACGGUUCUUACUAAUAUUAGGAACUAAUGACGGUUCCUGAACAAUAAGCACCGGCUAACUACGUGCCAGCAGCCGCGGUAAUACGUAUGGUGCAAGCGUUAAUCGGAAUUACUGGGCGUAAAGCGUGCGCAAGCGGCUUUGCCAGACAUAUGUGAGAUCCCCGGGCUCAACCUGGGAACUGCAUUUGUGACUGCUGGGCUUGAGUACGGUAGAGGGGGAUGGAAUUCCGCGUGUAACAAUGAAAUGCGUAAAUGUGCGGAGGAACACCGAUGGUGAAGGCAAUCCCCUGGACCUGGACUGACGCUCAUGCACAAAAGCCUGGGGAGCCCACACGAUUAAAUACCCUGGUAAUCCACGCCCUAAACGAUGUCAACUGGUUGUUGGACGGCUUGCUGUUCACUAACCAGGCUAACGCGUGAAGUUGACCGCCUGGCGAAUACAGUCACAGGGUUGAGCCUCAGAGGAGUUGACGGUGACUCGCAUCAGCGCUGGAUGAAGAGGUUUAAUUCCCUGUGACGCGUAAAACCUUACCUACCCAUGACAUGUCUUCAAGUUACCAGAGAUG
rnacentral:rRNA from 1 species